GAUGAACGCUGGCGGCGUGCCUAAUACAUGCAAGUCGAGCGAACGGACGAGAAGCUUGCUUCUCUGAUGUUAGCGGCGGACGGGUGAGUAACACGUGGAUAACCUACCUAUAAGACUGGGAUAACUUCGGGAAACCGGAGCUAAUACCGGAUAAUAUUUUGAACCGCAUGGUUCAAAAGUGAAAGACGGUCUUGCUGUCGCUUAUAGAUGGAUCCGCGCUGCAUUAGCUAGUUGGUAAGGUAACGGCUUACCAAGGCAACGAUGCAUAGCCGACCUGAGAGGGUGAUCGGCCUCACUGGAACUGAGACACGGUCCAGACUCCUACGGGAGGCAGCAGUAGGGAAUCUUCCGCAAUGGGCGAAAGCCUGACGGAGCAACGCCGCGUGAGUGAUGAAGGUCUUCGGAUCGUAAAACUCUGUUAUUAGGGAAGAACAUAUGUGUAAGUAACUGUGCACAUCUUGACGGUACCUAAUCAGAAAGCCACGGCUAACUACGUG
rnacentral:rRNA from 1 species